AUUUGUGGUCUUUAAUUUCCUGAAAUU
rnacentral:piRNA from 1 species